AUGGAAGCAAAAGGGGAUGUAUUGGAAGGCUCUCUUGGACUCAUUCAACAGAUGUGAGGUUGAGGCGCUGAGUUUGAAAGUGGGUGGAAAUCAUGUAGUUCCAGAACGCUAGCGGCUCCGCCUUCUCGCUGGGAAGCAGGUGCUUGGACUUGAGAUUUCAUCGGGUUCCGUCAAAAGGGAUGAGGCAGUUCCAUAAAAGGAAAUUCAGAUGCUCUAAGGCUGGAAGAAUGGCUAGAAAGCAGCUGAAACCCAACACACAUCCACAGAGGCAGCUGCUGAUUUACCAGCUCUCCGGAGACGACAGGCCGGGUUCAUCCUGGCCGAGGGACAGCGUGACGGACUGAUUCUCUCUGGUCGCAGCAAUCACAGCUUUCCUUGUUCAGGACAUCUGACUGGCACUGGGGACCGGCGAGCCAGUCAGCUGUAAGGGAUGGUCCCUCUGUGUGGGGACCUGCGAGGUCAGGGAAAGGGAUUUGGGAGGAGAUGGAAUUUGUCAUGGCGGGCCAGAGCGGUCAUCUCAUUAGAGGAAGAAAAGUGUCUGUUUCCAUUUCUAUUUAUUAACAAUUAUUAAACACUUUGGGAGCCUCAUAGAGAUACACAGCCCAGAGUCCUUACGUCUGUCCUCAGGUCCAUAGCUGACCCCUACAGAAGCUCAUGGACACAUGGAAUAAUUUUCAUUUACAAAUGUACACACAUAAUGAAUCUCUGAUGAAAGGAAACUUCAGGAACACUGAUGGUGAAAGGAAAGGGCAUGAGGAGAAGAGAAUAAUAACAUUUCUAUGAGUUGGUUGUAACAUGAGUUUUCCUGGGUUGGUUGGUUUGUUUUGUUUUGUUUGAGACAGGGUCUUACUCUGUCACCCAGGCUGGAGUGCAGUGGCACAUUUCGGCUGGCUUGCAAUCGCCACCUCUUGGGUUCAGGCGAUCCUCCCACCUCAGCCUCCUGAGGAGCUUGGACCACAGACACAUGUCACCAUGCCUAGCUAACUUUUUGUAGAGAUGGGGGGGGGUCUCGCCAUGUUGCCCAGGCUGGUCUCGAUCUCCUGGACCCAAGUGAUCUGCCCGCCUUGGCCUCCC
rnacentral:lncRNA from 13 species